GGCACUUUGGCCGAGUGGUCUAAGGCGCCGUGUUCAGGUUAUCCGACAUCGAAGCAAUUCGACGACGUAUCCCGAUUCGCGGUCUAGUAAUAGGCGAGGGUUCGAAUCCCUCAGGUGUCA
rfam:Drechmeria coniospora strain ARSEF 6962 chromosome 02, whole genome shotgun sequence.